GAAUCUGUGGCUGGGCCUGCAAGCCUCCUCCUCCUCCUGCCCUCGCCCAGCCUGGCAGCCAACAUGAGGCUCUUCCACAUCCUGCUGCUGCCUCUCUGCCUGCUCUUUGCCCAGGUGGGCCCAGCUUUGGUUUAGCCACAGUGGGGCACCAACCUCAGACGGAGGGCACAGACCUCAGACGGAGGGCAUAGACCUCAGAGGGCACAGACCUCAGAAGAAGGGCACAGACCUUAGAUGGAGGGGACAGACCUCAGAUGGAGGGGACAGGACUUUGCAUGAGCUGCCGAGGUGCUGGCCUCCUUGCGAGUCUGUUACACAGGAGUCCAGAAUACACAUGCGCCAAGCAGGGGGGGACCUGCAACUUCUCCCCGUGCCCGCUCUACACCCAAGUCAAGGGCUACUGCUACAGAGGGAAGGCCAAGUGCUGCAU